CCCCUCUCAGGAUUGCACCUGGAGAGUUUCCAGUACUCUACCAGUCUCGGUUAUGGGAGGGAGAGUCAAGCAGAGGCCUACCUCUUGUGUUCCUAGCUUGGGCAGAAGCUAGAGAGUGGAAGGCAAUCUGCUACAAGU